rfam:Ipomoea nil DNA, scaffold: scaffold2792, cultivar: Tokyo-kokei standard.
GUCAAGAUGGCCGAGUAGGUCUUAAGCGCCAAUUUCAGGUACUGGUCCGAUAAGGCAUGGCUUCAAAUCCCUUUCUUGACA